AGUGAACGCUGGCGGUAGGCCUAACACAUGCAAGUCGAACGGCAGCACAGUAAGAGCUUGCUCUUACGGGUGGCGAGUGGCGGACGGGUGAGGAAUACAUCGGAAUCUACUUUUUCGUGGGGGAUAACGUAGGGAAACUUACGCUAAUACCGCAUACGACCUACGGGUGAAAGCAGGGGAUCUUCGGACCUUGCGCGAUUGAAUGAGCCGAUGUCGGAUUAGCUAGGUUGCGGGGUAAAGGCCCACCAAGGCGACGAUACGUAGCUGGUCUGAGAGGAUGAUCAGCCACACUGGAACUGAGACACGGUCCAGACUCCUACGGGAGGCAGCAGUGCGGAAUAUUGUACAAUGGGCGCAAGCCUGAUCCAGCCAUACCGCGUGGGUUAAGAAGGCCUUCGGGUUGUAAAGCCCUUUUGUUGGGAAAGAAAAGCAGCAGGUUAAUACCCCGCUGUUCUGACGGUACCCAAAGAAUAAGCACCGGCUAACUUCGUG
rnacentral:rRNA from 1 species